CGGUUGAUCCUGCCGGAGGUCACUGCUAUUGGGAUUCGACUAAGCCAUGCGAGUCGAGAGGGUUCGGCCCUCGGCUGACGGCUCAGUAACACGUGGAUAAUCUGCCCUUAGGUGGAGGAUAAUCUCGGGAAACUGAGGAUAAUACUCCAUAGAUCUAGGAUGCUGGAAUGCAUCCAGAUUGAAAGCUCCGGCGCCUAAGGAUGAGUCUGCGGACUAUCAGGUUGUAGUCAGGGUAAAGACCUGACUAGCCUACGACGGAUACGGGUUGUGAGAGCAAUAACCCGGAGACGAUAUCUGAGACACGAUAUCGGGCCCUACGGGGCGCAGCAGGCGCGAAAACUUCACACUGUGCGAAAGCGCGAUGAGGGAAUCCCAAGUGUUUGCUCGUAAGAGUAAACUGUUUCUUUGUUUAAAACGCAGAGAGAGUAAGGGCUGGGUAAGACGGGUGCCAGCCGCCGCGGUAAUACCUGCAGCUCGAGUGGUGAUCAUUAUUAUUGGGCCUAAAACGUCCGUAGCCGGUUUAGUAAAUGCCUGGGUAAAUCGUGUAGCUUAACUAUACGACUUCCGGGUAGACUGCUAAACUUGAGACCGGGAGAGGCUAGAGGUACUCCUGGGGUAGAGGUGAAAUUCUGUAAUCCUAGGGGGACCACCAGUGGCGAAGGCGUCUAGCUAGAACGGGUCUGACGGUGAGGGACGAAGCCCUGGGGCACAAACCGGAUUAGAUACCCGGGUAGUCCAGGGUGUAAACGCUGCUUGCUUGAUGUUAGUUGGGCUCCGAGCCCAACUAGUGUCGGANAGAAGUUGUUAAGCAAGCUGCCUGGGAAGUACGGUCGCAAGGCUGAAACUUAAAGGAAUUGGCGGGGGAGCAC
rnacentral:rRNA from 1 species